UUUUUACCCCUUCCCUGAGAGCGAGUACUACUGAGAAUCCUACAUUAACUGUUCUAGAAUGCUCCCCUGGCUGAGUUAAAGACAGCGCUGCCAGGCUAGCACUCAUGUUGUUUACAGCGGGUAAUGAAAUGUAUUCUGGGUAAUGUAGGAAAAUGGCACACUGUAGCAGUUUGCGGUAAGACUAACACGACAGCAAGAGACAUUUUAUAAAGAUGUCAAAGUGUUUUGGUCUGUAUUUUAUCGUGGAUAAAACCCAUGUUCACAUACACUCAUAAAAAUACUGAUCGAUUUGAAUGAUCAAGGCUGGUUGAAUGACCAAGGCUUCAUUGUCACUGCACAGACAUCACCUGAGUUUGUUUGCAAAGAACUGGCUUAUCCGGCCCAGAUCUCUAAGGUAACCCCAAAAUCUGUGACUUCCUUGACCGAUCACAAUGCUCUUAAAUUGAAUCUACAGGCCAUCCCCGGCCCCCAUUAGCAUUUAUGAUCACCCCUCCCAGUGCUCACAUUACAGUCUCAUACAGUAAUUCAAGCAUUACGUACAAGAGGGUUACAUAUUAAACAUUAUAGAUUAGGGAUGCACCGAUAUGAAAAUUUUGACCGAUACUGAUAUCCGAUAUUAAAAUUGCUGUUACGGCCGAUAACCAAUAUUUACCGAUAUCGAUAUUGGUAUAAAAACAAGUUUCUAUGAUGAUUUUGUAUACUGAAGAACUUGUAAAUGUUACCGGUCCCAAGUGGCCAGGACGGGGGUAACAAAUAGAGUUGAGACCGGACUCCCUGAAAAGCAGGUAACAUGGGUUACAAGGACUGAAGCGGCACUGCUCUUGCUUGGUCUCCGAAAUCCGUCUCUUUAUUUCACAAUUAUCAUGAAUAACACAUUAAUAAAUAAAUAAAUAAAUAAAUAAAUAUAAACUCUUCCCUCGUUAAAGUGCCUGUUAAAUUGUCUAUUAUUCCUUUGUAAGUUAUCUUUGCAAAUAAAACAUAAAAAGUGCAAUAAAAAGUAAGGCUCACAUGUACCGUUUCUCUCCACUCUUAGUUCACCUUCAAAUCAAUACAGAACUCCUUUUUUAUCAAAAUCCUCAUUAAAGUUAAAGUUCCUGUUUCAGCUUAUUCGCUGGUUGUUUUGAGCUUUCUAACAAUGCAAUUAAAUACUGUUCUGUUCCUAUAAUAGAAAUAACAUAUUUUGGCUUUAAACCACAAUAAACCAUAACAAGACAAUAACCAGCCCCUAGGGAAUUAACAUUACACCACAGUCGGACCUACAAUGGAUUUGCCUGUCUAACAAACCGACUAAACAUUUAAUUAUAAAACAUCAUAUCAACACUUUUCUUAUAGCCUACUCUAAAAUAUAUUAUCAUUACGUCAUCGAACUCUUAAUCACAUUAAAUACAUUCUUAAACAUGUACGUUAGGUGUUCAGGGCCAAAGUAAACUUAAACAUACUCUACAGUGUGUGUUUCCACAAUAAUAUACUGUGCGAACGGGCCAACUGCCAUUUCACGCUAAUGCCGUUCGGCGCAAAACCAACAAAGGAGUUCAACAGUUAAUAACUCGAUAUUACAGACAUCAAACUUGACACAAAGUUUAUCAACUGUUCUAAAAUAUCCAGAUUCAUGAAAAUCGUUAUUUGUGUGAGUUUCACGGAGUACAAACCUGAAAAGCAGGUAACAUGGGUUACAAGGACUGAAGCGGCACUGCUCUUGCUUGGUCUCCGAAAUCCGUCUGGAGAGGAAGCGGAAACGCCCCCCAACCAUAGGAGUCUGGGCUGCCGCGCAAACAUUUUGGUACCGCCCCUUCCGUUUCCAAGUAUACCGUAAUAAUAAGUUAUAUAAAAAAAAAUGCUCAAUGUAAAUAAAACGAAUGUAAAUGAUUGACCAACGGUUAUACAUAUACAUUCACGAAAAAGAGAAAUCGUGGUCUAGUUUUGAGUGUACCACACACUCCCCAACAAAAAAAAAUGGCUCCUGACAUCUGAUUUAAAUUUUUCACAAGAUGUGUAAGAUCUAGAUCUAUGUGUAUGUAAGUAUCUCCCCAAUGUUUAGAAACAAUGAAUCAGUGAGUAUAGAUAUGGAGGGAUAAUAGAUGGGGGUUGCAAUGCAUGGGCAUAGGGGUAGUGGUAGAACAUGUGGCCACAAUGGAUUGGUUGAAUGUCAACUGCGUUCACAGUGGGACGUAACUGGUAAGCAGGCUGGCCAAGGGAGGGGUAUGUGAACACGUAGCCAGGUCUCCUUUCUCUUACUGAUUGUCUAAGCACGACUUGGGGUUCAGGCUGCGGUUCUGGGGCACCUUCCUCUUGGUGAGUCACUUGAGGUUCCUCUUGUUCAGUGUUAUACUGAGCCUGACCCAUGUCCUGUUGAGACUGAUUCCUGUCCUGCUCACUUUCACUGUUUAUAUCAGGCUCCUCAUUAUUGACAUCUCUCUCGUCCAUGACAUUUUCCACUUCUCUUUCCAGUUCCACAUUGUUUCUCUGUCUGAUCGGAGUUCCACUCGGUACAGGUCUGCUUCGAAUUGGGCUGGUGACACUUGACCUUGGUAAGUUUCUCUCAACUCUUUCCACAGGUACCCGCAGCCAGUAAUGAGACACACCCUCCUCUUCAGAUUCACUUGUCUCAGAACUCUGUCUCUGUUCUGUGGGCUUCAGGGGUUCAGAGAACUUUUUGGUUUUCUUUUGUGGCUUGGGCCUAUUUGUGACUUUGUUUUGAGGAGGCUCUACCGGUAGGUCGUUUACUUGGAGCAGCAGGUUUCGAUGUAGGGUGCGGACGGGGCGACCUCCCGUCUCUGGGCUUAUUCUGUAGACAGGAUUAUCCCCAACCUGCUCUCUCACAAUGUAGAUUAUCUUCUCCCAAUAUGGCCUGAGUUUCCCCGGCCCACCUCUCAUUGAGGUUACGUACCAGGACUCGGUCUCCAGCUUGAAGAGUCACACCUUUGCUCUUUUUGUCAUAGUGAGCUUUCCCUUUGGCACUUGACUGUUGGCUGUUUGCGUUUGCUAUUCGAUAAGCCUCGAUCAUCCUUCCUGCCCAUUUUUACGCAUAGCCUGUUGGUGUUUCAUCUUCUUCCUCUGCUAUUAGACCAAAGAGGAGAUCAACGGGGAGGCGGGGAUGACGGCCAUACAUUAGGUAGUAGGGGGAGAACCCUGUGCCCUCAUGCUUUGUAGCGUUGUAGGCAUGUAGCACGUGAGGUAGGUGGUCUUUCCAAUUUUCCUUUUCUUUCUCUCCUAGGGUCCGUAGCAUUUGCAACAACGUGCGAUUUAGUCUCUCGGCAGGGUUGCCUUGGGGGUGAUAGGGGGAGGUUCUUGAGUGGCCAACACUAGAUAACUGCCUAAGUGAUUUGAACAGUUCGUUUUCAAAUUCUCGACCCUGGUCGUGGUGAAGCUUGGUGGGAUAUCCAAAUCUGGGAAUGAAGUCGUUGAAGAGUCUGUCAGCAGCUGUCUUGCCCGCUUUGUUGCGAGUGGGGUAGGCUUGUGCGAACCUGGUGAAGUGGUCUAUCACGACCAAUAUGUACUCACAUCCACCACGACAGGCUUCUAAGUGGAGGAAGUCGAUGCACACGAGUUCAAGGGGUGAGUUAGAUGUGAUACUCCCCAUUGGUGCUCUUUCAUGUGUGGCUGGUUUCUUUUGCUUUAUGCAAGGGCAUCUUCUGGUUAUGUAAUCUUCAAUCUCAUUUUUCAUGAAAGGCCAGUAGAAGCGCUCCCUUGCUAGGCUGCUGGUGUGCUUCUCUCCACUCUACUGGGGUUCUGGAGGACUGUUGGAUACCUUUUAUUUUCCCUCGUGGUUGCUUGGAUUGCAGCGUGGGUGGCAGUGAGUCCGUUUUUGACUUUAGCAGAUCAUAUAGGGGCUUUGCUAUUCGUUAGAAAUCUUGUACAUACGUUCGAUAAUAGCUCAGAAAUCCCAGUAGCUGCCUGACUUCUCCCACUGUCUUUGGUGCUUUGUGUUUUAGUGCCCGCACUGCUUCAAGGUCUUUUGGAUCCACUUUCACUCCUUCAGCAGACACAAGCCGUCCAACAUAUCUGACCUCUUUGCGGAGUAGCUCACACUUUUCUGGUUUUAGCUUCACUCCGUGCUGUUGAAGGGCUUGAAGGACUCGGCGCAGGACUAGCACAUGCUCUUCAAAGGACCUUGAGAAGCAAAGAACGUCAUCCAGAUAGGGGAUACAGCAUUCGUCACGGAGCGUGUCGAGCAUCUCCUCCAUGCUCCUUUGGAAGGCUGCUGGGGCAUUUGAUAGGCCGAAGGGUAUCCGGACCCACUCAUACAGUCCCCAAGGAGUGGUGAAUGCAGUCAGGUAUCUUGAACCUUUGGCGAUAAAGCCUUGGUGAUACGCCUUGCCCUGGUCUAGGAUCGAAAACCAGCUGUAUCCUCCAAGAGAGUCAGUGAGAUCCUGGAUUCGGGGGAGAGGGUGUCGGUCGGCCACUGUUUUGUUAUUUAGGAGCCGGUAGUCAAUGCACAGACGCAAUGAGCCAUCUUUUUUCCUAACACAUAUGACAGGGGCAGCAUAGGGAGAUCGGGACUUAAUGGUCCAUCCCUUCACCAACAACUCCUGGAUAUACUCUUUCACCUCCUUGUACAGUGGCUUGGGGAUAGAUGCAUAGGCUCUAUUUGUUGGGAUGUCAUCUUUAACAUUGAUCUCCAUUUUCAGAGAAGGAAUACACCCAAUGUCACUACUGUCACGAGCGAAUGCCCCGGACUCUGCAUACAGCACUUCUUUAACCAUAUGUUGUUGUUCGGUAGUAAGGUGACUGAUAUCGACAGGCGGUGACCAGGGCUCAGAAGGUGAGGCCACAUUGUUAACUUCCGCUGAUGCUUCUUCUGUUGAUGCGGGCCCUACUUGUUUCAACUCUGGUGCGUCAGCCUCGAGGACCUUGGCCACAUGCUGGAUGGUUCCUAGAGUGGUUCUUUUUGGCAGGGUGAUUUCAUGCUUUGAGUGAUUGGAGAUGGGCACUUUGACAUAGGGGCGUUGGGGGUUAUUGAUUUCUAGCAGGCCUUCCCCUACACUCAGCUGGCCUAAAACUGUGUUCUCCUCUGUGGGCUCAUACAGGACAAGGGGGUCGGAGGUGUUGAAGUUGCAUGGCACUCGACAGCACACAUUAACUACUUUCCCAGCUGGAAUAACAAUAUUGUCUUUGCCUACCCUUACUGUGGCAGGGUCACAAUCUGGCUUUGGGGGUACUCGGAUGUAAUUGACCAUGGCAACCACUUGUUCAUCUGCCAACCCAAACGCGCCGCGUAGGAGACUGGCCACUGUGGCGUCAUCUUGUCCCUUGAGGAUCUCCUCAAUUACAUUGGCUCCGAGUAACGGCUGGGGCAUUGGCAGCUGGCUGACUAGGAAGGGGGCUGGUAUGGUGAGAUUAGGGUCGUCACUCCCUGUGAGGUUGACCGUGAGCUCUACCCAUCCAUUAUAGGGGAUGGCAUGGCCUGUUACUCCAUAGACGUUUAAAUCUACAUCAACCAGUUCCCGUAACGGCCUCACUGUGUGAUGGGGAAUGUAAGUAUCAGCCCAUGUUUUAUCAAUUAAGCUAACCUGGGAGCCACUGUCAAACAACACGGUUACUGGAUAUCCACUGAGUGAACAUUUAAGCAGGGUUUUCUUACCAACUAGGGGUAUUUUACAGCUUGUGCUACUAUUACAGGUAAGUAUGGGUGGUUGUGUGUUUUGUUUUGGUCGUGCUGGGAGCUGUUUGGGGUUUGGGCUUACAAGCAGGGACUGGGGUUGUGCAUUGGUCUCUGGCUGUCCCUCGGCAGAGACCUGACCCCGUUUCCCUGAAUCGUAGUCCGCUUUAGACAUCCCACUGCUCGGUGUCCUGACUCUCCGCAGACAAAGCAGUGGUUGCAAUCCGGUAAGUCUUGUUCAAUGCAUUUUUGGCAACGGGCUGUUCUUCCCCUUGUCUGGAAGGGGGGUCGACUCAGCAGGGACUGAGGACGUCUGUCUGGAGGUAAGUUAGGAGGACGGUGCGACAGUGGGUGAGGCGAGGUUCGAGAGGGUGGUGUUGGUGAGUGAGCUGUUUGGAUGCUAGUUGCCUGUUGGUCUAUUCAAGUGGCCACCAUGUGUGUCAGGGCCUCUACUUGGGCACUGAGCUGCUGAAUGGUCGGGGGGUUAUUACUCUCCGCAGCUGUGUCUCGUGGCCGGUCGUUACCCUGCCAAUUUCCGGUUUCCACUUUGGCAUUAUGUGCAUGUGUUGGAUUUUGGCGAGGGAGUUGGCCAAGUCUGUGCUGGUGCUCAUUUUCAUCACUAAGUAUUCUCAUUACCUGGCCGAGGAUUUCCUCAUCUGUGACACGGCUGUUGGAGAUGAGGGGUCUCAAUCUCUGUCGAAGCUCCGUGUGCUUUGGUCCCAGGCCCUGGUAGAUAGUGUGGAGGAAUACUUCUUGUAUUGUCUUGGGUUCAUAGGAGAUCUCUGCAUUGUUCUGCUUUGAUUGGAAAAUUAGUUUUUGUUUAAGUCCAAUCAUGCGGUACAGAAACUGCUGUGGCGACUCCUGUUCAGACUGCCGGGCACACAUCAACUCCUGAAACAUCUCUGUUGUUGCCUUUUCUCCAAGGUGGGACCUGAGGAAGCCUUUGAGUUCAGGGAGAGUUAUUUCAUCUUUAUUUACCAGCAUAUCUUUGAAGGUGCCUGGUUUGAUGAUUCUCAAUGCUCCCCGUACAACCUCUGCCUCCACAAAGCCCUCUCUUAUUCCAUCAUCGAGUUGUUUGAUGAUGCUGCUAUAACUCAUCUCAGAGCUCUGGUCUCCAAUUUGGCCUCCAUGUACUUUGAACUCUCUGCGCUGGAGAUAGGGGAGAUCUCUCAGGGGAACCAUGGUGCCUGAUACCCUGUGUGGGAGUGGUUGGGGCAUGGAGUCACCUUGGGGGUUAGGUGCAGGGGUCUGUGAGUUGGCUGUGGCUGCACAUUUUCUAAGUUGCUCACCAACCUCGUCAUACAUCUUUCUAAGCUCCUCCACUGGCUGCGUGGAUGUGUGUGUUGGAGUGAGGAUAUUGUGGUGUGACUGUGAUGUUGGAGUGAGGGUUAGUUUGUGACAUGUUGUCUACAUCGAUGGUGGGUAGCUCAGGACUAUGUGUCUUGUGUGUUUUAGCAUCACCCCAUUUAUCAACAGGCAACUCAACACAUACAUUUUCAUUAAUCAAUUUACACACAAAAUCAUCCAACAUUAACAAGUUAGUCAUACCUUCAUCCUCAAACUCUAACAACUCCCGAGACCCCAUGUAGGUGAUGACAUAGUCUAUGCAGCCUUCUUCAUCUCCUUUCAAUUGGCUGACUUCAUGAACUUCUGUUGACAGGCCACUAGCAACAGUGUGUAGGUCAUUGCUGGAGAGUUUGAACAAACCUCGUUUGAUGUUCCACACCAGCUCUUUCCGUGUCGUUCCCAUGGUGCGUUGCUUCGGUGGUAUAGAAUGUCACUACGGUGUAUGAUAUUGCGUAGCUUCUCCGAUGACGCACGCCCCGUGGACCCCGGUUCAGUUGUGCGGCUCCCUGGCAAGGUGAAGAUCCUUCUCCUCCCACUCUGGACACCCACAGGUUGACUCCUGGUCUACAGUCACGUCGUCGUCUCGCGUUCGUCUUCUCGAUGUCGGUUCUGGUAUCACUGGAUCUGCCCCUCUGAUGUAUGUGAAGAGGAGAGAUCCCGGACGAGCCCCCACAGUUUGUUACCGGUCCCAAGUGGCCAGGACGGGGGUAACAAAUAGAGUUGAGACCGGACUCCCUGAAAAGCAGGUAACAUGGGUUACAAGGACUGAAGCGGCACUGCUCUUGCUUGGUCUCCGAAAUCCGUCUCUUCAUUUCACAAUUAUCAUGAAUAACACAUUAAUAAAUAAAUAAAUAAAUAUAAACUCUUCCCUCGUUAAAGUGCCUGUUAAAUUGUCUAUUAUUCCUUUGUAAGUUCUCUUUGCAAAUAAAACAUAAAAAGUGCAAUAAAAAGUAAGGCUCACAUGUACCGUUUCUCUCCACUCUUAGUUCACCUUAAAAUCAAUACAGAACUCCUUUUUAUCAAAAUCCUCAUUAAAGUUAAAGUUCCUGUUUCAGCUUAUUCGCUGGUUGUUUUGAGCUUUCUAACAAUGCAAUUAAAUACUGUUCUGUUCCUAUAAUAGAAAUAACAUAUUUUGGCUUUAAACCACAAUAAACCAUAACAAGACAAUAACCAGCCCCUAGGGAAUUAACAUUACACCACAGUCGGACCUACAAUGGAUUUGCCUGUCUAACAAACCGACUAAACAUUUAAUUAUAAAACAUAUCAACACUUUUCUUAUAGCCUACUCUAAAAUAUCUUAUCAUUACGUCAUCGAACUCUUAAUCACAUUAAAUACAUUCUUAAACAUGUACGUUAGGUGUUCAGGGCCAAAGUAAACUUAAACAUACUCUACAGUGUGUGUUUCCACAAUAAUAUACUUUGCGAACGGGCCAACUGCCAUUUCACGCUAAUGCCGUUCGGCGCGAAACCAACAAAGGAGUUCAACAGUUAAUAACUCGAUAUUACAGACAUCAAACUUGACACAAAGUUUAUCAACUGUUCUAAAAUAUCCAGAUUCAUGAAAAUCGUUAUUUGUGUGAGUUUCACGGAGUACAAACCUGAAAAGCAGGUAACAUGGGUUACAAGGACUGAAGCGGCACUGCUCUUGCUUGGUCUCCGAAAUCCGUCUGGAGAGGAAGCGGAAACGCCCCCCAACCAUAGGAGUCUGGGCUGCCGCGCAAACAUUUUGGUACCGCCCCUUCCGUUUCCAAGUAUACCGUAAUAAUAAGUUAUAUAAAAAAAAUGCUCAAUGUAAAUAAAACGAAUGUCAAUUAUUGACCAACGGUUAUACAUAUACAUUCACGAAAAAGAGAAUACAUCUUGAAAUCGUGGUCUAGUUUUGAGUGUACCACAUAAACACUGAAUAUGAAAAAGUUAUUUCUUUCUUUAUUUACCAAAACUUCGAAAUACAUUGUUUCUUCAACAAGUUACAGGGCAUCCAUAACAAACACAAGUUAAUAACAGUGUUAGUUUUAGGCUACUUUUACAGCUUGCAUCUAUGAAAAAGUUUGGAUCAUAAAUCACAAUAAAGAUCACAAAUCAAAAUAUUUGUGCACUUUCGUGUAAGGUUUUAUAACUUAAACCAGACACUUGUCUAAUAAAUUACAAAAAGUGUUUCAAGUUUAAGUAAAUUUCAACUCAAAUCUGUGAAAUAGGCUAAAUCAAAUAUAUCAAGGGAGGUUGGUUGUAGUCUUUUCACUCAGUUCUAGCCCUAUUGUUGAUCCGGAGAACCGAGCGAAAAGACUACAACCAAAUAUAACCAUAUCAAUUAAAUUCAAUUCAAUUUUAUUUGUAUAGCCCUUAAUCACCAUUACAGUCUCAAAGGGCUUAACAGGCCAAAUAUUUGUGACACCCCCCUUUACCCAUGCCCCCACACGGGCAAGAAAAAAACUCCCUUGAAUCAGCAAGGAAGAAAUCUUGAGAAGAAACGCAGUGUAGGGGAACCCUUCUUCCAGGGAUGGUCAGGAGUGCAAUGGGUGCCACAAUUGACAUACAGGUAAAUACAUGCACAUCAUAUUGAAAUGGUGAUGGGGUUCUGGCCGGUUAUCCAUGAGGAGAGUCCAGGCAUCCAGUCCAGUACCCGCAACACGCUAGAACAGACAGAAUAGUGAAUUAGAACGGAAAAGUACAUUGUGGGAAUGUAUAAUGUAAUAAGAAAAGCACAAGCAAACAGAGUAGUCUUCACUUCGCAUCUGUCGUUUUCACACUCCAAAUGCAAGAUUAUAGAGGUGCGUUUUGAGCUUUCCUUUGAAUAGCUCCACAGAGUCAGCGUCCCUGAUCACUGAUGGCAGCCUAUUCCAUAGGAAGGGGGCUCGAUAGGCAAACGCUCUCUGUCCAGCCGAUUUCGGUUCCGGUUCCCGUUUCAAUGGGAUUACGGAACGGCAAAUAAAACACAACUGUAUUUCACUACGAUAAUGUAUAUAAUGAUUUGACACGGCAUCCUCCGCGCAUUACUUUGGCUUUGCAAGUACUGCAUAUUAGGGAUCGACCGAUACAGAUUUUUUAGGGCCGAUACGAUACCGAUAUUUUUUCAUCAGCCUUAGCCGAUACUCCGAUACGCCGAUACCGAUAUUUAGAGCCGAUAUUUAGAGCCGAUACUGCUUUUGCUCCCUCAAUCAUAAAAAUUACACUGAUAACAAAUGUUACAAGUCUCAAUUUAAAAAAAGGAACAUUUAUUGAACUUCAAUAUAAAAAACAAUAUUUAACAAAUAGUAAAAACAGGUGAGGUAAAACAAGUAAGAAAAAUUAGAUGAGCAAUAUUUAACAAAUAUUAAAAACAGGUGAGGUAGAACAAGUAAAAAAAGUUAAAAAAAAAAAGCGAAAAAAUAUCAGGGAAAAUCAGCCGCGUAUCGGCCGAUACCGAUACACGUAAAAAACGCGAAUAUUGGCCGAUAAUAUCGGCCGACCGAUAUAUCGGUCGAUCCCUACUGCAUAUUGCAAUUCGAGUACCUUCAUUUGAGACCGUAAAAACCAUCCAAACCGCCGACAUUGAUUAUUUUCAGUUAAAGUGACAAACACUCCUGUACUGCCUCUCCGUGCGUCUCUGGCUGCGUCACUGACACUGUCGCAUGACCAAACAAGCAGCGCAUGGGCAAAAAACACACACAACAGCAACUAGACGGAAAUAAAUAACGGCUGUUAAUAUCGGACCAGUUUUACUUAUCGCGCAGAUGCCGAUAUGUUAAAAAAUGACUAACAUCGACCGAUAACGAUAUCACUGCCGAUAUAUCGUGCAUCCCUAUUAUAGAUACAUAGGGUUGCCGGUAUUACCAGUGUUAGCGGUGUUGAAGACCACACUGAUUACUCGGUGUUGCAACACCGUUUUUGUUUUUUUGUUUUUUUCAGUAAUAAAAAAAAAAUUAUAAUCAAGGAAAUAAAAAUGUAAUAAUAAUAGAUAGAUAUAAUAAUAGAUAGUCUACCUAAUAAACCAUUGGAACACACAAGACCGUUAACCAUAGCUCCUUUACUUAGAAAGGAGUCAGCUGAGGUGGUUCGGGCAUCUGGUAAGGAUGCCCACUGGGCGCCUUCCUUGGGAGGUGUUUCAGGCACGUCCAGUGGGGAGGAGACCUCGGGGAAGACCCAGGACUAGGUGGAGAGAUUAUAUCUCAACACUGGCCUGGGAACGCCUCAGAGCUGGUCAAUGUGGCCCGGGAAAGGGAAGUCUGGGGCCCCCUGCUUGAGCUGCUCCCCCCGCGACCCGACCCCGGAUAAGCGGAUGACGAUGAGGAUGAGGACAAAUAUAAAGCAAAAACAAGUGUUAUCUAGCGAUCCGUUUUCUGUAUUAUGUUAUUUCGUCUUUGGCAACAUGAGCGCGAAUGUUUUUUGAAACCCGCUUUAAACACUCCGUUUACUAGCUAAAUUUGAUUAAACAAUUAAAUACAAUACAAAUAUAAAGUAAAAACAAGUGUUAUCUAGCGAUCCGUUAUCUGUAUUAUGUAAUUUCGUCUUUGGCAACAUGAGCGCGAAUGUUUUUUGAAACCUGCACAGCAACGGACAACCCUUACGUAAUCAGUUGUCCGUUCAGCAACGGCAAUGGACAACUGAUGACGUGCCCGGUACAAAUUUGGCACCCGGUACAAAUUUGGCGUGACACCGCCAUUGUUAUGAAUUUAAACGAUUGGCGACUAGCGUUCUGGUGCAUAUUUACCGCCACGACUGGAGUGAGAGUGGGGGGGGGGGGGGGAGGCGACGCGUCGAUGCAAAUUAUUCAUGUCGAUGAAUUUUUGAAGUCGAUUACGUCCACUACGUCGACUAGUCGUCCCAGCUAUAGUCUACAGUGUCAAAUGCAGCUGAGAGAUCUAGCAUAAUAAGGGUGACAGAAUCACCAGCAUCAGUAGCUAAUAGGAUGUCAUUACAAACCCUUAUCAAUGCUGUUUCUUUGCUGUGAAGUGCUUUGAAGCCUGAUUGGAAUACCUCAAAAAGUGCCCUUAGCAUCUAGAUAAGAUUGAAGUUGUGUCAGGACAACUUUUUCAAAUACCUUAGAAAGGGAUGGAAGUUUGGAGAUAGGUCUACAAUUUGGCAGGACUGACGCAUCCAGAUUGGGGUUUUUAGUUAGAGGUUGUACUAUAGCAUGCUUUAAUCUAAUACCUGUGUUAAGGCUGCUGUUAAUGAUAUUUAGAAUAUAGGAUAUAGGUCCUGUAGUAUAAAAAAAUGUCUUUAAAACAAAACGAAACUUGCUAAAAGCUGCUGGGCAGCUGACAGGUAAAAAGGGGUCAUGGUUUGGGAGAGAUAGAAGCUCUAAUAGCAUAAGUCUUGUCAACAGAAAAAAUUAAGAAUUUGUCACUGAUAUCUGAUGAAAUAUCAGUGCAUGUAGAUUGGGGGACAUUCAGAACAGAGUUAAUGGUGUUAAAAAGCACACAGGGUUUAUGAGUAUUUUUGGAUAUAAUAUCCUUAAAGUAUUUAGAAUUUCUUGUCUUAUAGUUUUCUACUAGAUGGAGAGGCUGUUUUUAAGUAUUUCAUAGAACAUUUGUAAUUUAUCUUUCUUCCACUUACGCUCAGCCCGUCUACAUGCUUGCCUGGUUGUGCGAGUGUUGUCAUUUAACCAUGGUUGAGGUUUAGCUUUAAGACGCAUGGUUUUAAAAGGCGCAAUAGUGUCUUAAAUAAUUUCAGAAGCGCAGUAUAAUAGUAUGGUUAAUUCCUCAGUACCUCUAGGUGAGUCAAUCUAUGAAAAAAAAGAAAGAAAAUUGAUACAAAAGGUUUUUCAAUGGAUUCUAGUAGUAUUUGGUGUGCUGAAUAGCAUACUAAAAGUAUACCAAAAUAUACCUCCCAGAAAGCCCUCAUUUCCAAGAUGGCGGCCGAAAUGGCUAUAUCUCAAAUUCAAAAAAUGUUGCAAAGGAAUUUUCAACUGAUUCUGGUACCUCUGGAUAUGCUUACGAACAUACUAAAAAUCAAGGAAAAUACACCUUCCGGAAAGGCUUAAUUUUCAAGAUGGCGUCCAAAAUGGUGGCCGGCCAAGCUUAAAAUGGCUAUAUAUCUCAAUAGAAAAAGAUUAUUCGAAUGAUUUUUCACUUGAUUCUGGUACCUGCAAAUAUGCUUAUGAACAUACUAACAAUCUAGGAAAAUAUACCUCCCAGAAAGGCUUCAUUUUCAUAAUGGCGUCCAAAAUGGCGACCGGGAGCUUAGAAUGGCUAUAUCUCAAAUGGAAAAUGUUACAAAAGAAUGGUUCAACUGAUUCUGGUACCUCUAUACAUAAAGAACGUGAGACAAAUCUAGGUAAAUAUAACUGCUCGAAAGGCAUCAUUUUCAAAAUGACUGCCUGAUGGAAUAGGGGAGCAUGGUUCUCGUGCUUGGACUGCGGAAGCAAGACAAGUUCCCGUGCUUUGACUGCGGGAAGGGACAGGUUCCCGUGCUUUGUGCGAGAAAAUCUCUCUCUCUCUCUCUCUCUAAAACACACACACACACACACACACACACACACACACACAGUGGAAGGGGGAGUGUCUUCUUUAUAAGACUUGCUCUGCUUCUCAUUUUCUGUUCAUUUGCCAUUAGACUUACUUCGAGUAAAGUCCUAACUUGGGCAGCGGCAGCAUAUUCGAUUCAUUCAAACUACAGCCUUUUUAAAGGCUUCCACCUUGCCUUGCUUUAUCGCUAGGUUCAAGAUGAGUGCAUCUGUCCCAUUUGCAAAUUGGAAGAUGGAAGUGAUUUAGUUGAGAUUCGUCAGAAGGGUGCUGAUGGAAUCAAUGAAGCUAGUGUUAAAAGAGGUGACAGUAUUGUUUUUACUGCUGGCAUGAAAGUACAUCCAGAGUGCCGCAGAUUGUACACAAAUAGUCGACAGAUUUAUUUACAUUUACAGAAGAAACACAGCAGUGAUUCCAGUACCAAUAAAAGGACUACUAGGCAGUCUGAAGAUCCAUUUAAUAACCAAACUGAUUGCCUUUUCUGCGGCACAAAUGUCCAUGAAGGAAGUGCCGACUACAGUUAUGUGAAAACAGACAACUUUGCAAAGUCUAUAUUGCAAAGCUGUGAUAAACGAAAUGAUGAGUGGUCAUUAAAAGUCAAAUGUAGAAUUGAAUACUAUCGUAGUGAUCUACAGGCUGCAGACUGCGUGUAUCAUACGCUUGUAGCACACAUUUCCGGUGUGACCAUGAUGUUCCCACGCAAUUUCAGCCUGAUUGUCAUCCAAAGCGGAGGAAGGAUGGAAGGCCAAAGAAUGAGGACCAAGAACAAGCCUUCUCAAAAAUGUGUGCUUACUUUGAAUUGAAUGAUGAUGGACAGCUGACUGUUUAUGCACUUAGGUGUAAAAUGCAAGAGUAUUUGUCUAAUGCUGAUUCCAUCCCAUAUGGUAAUCAAUACCUAAAAACACUGCUGAUGCAACGGUAUGAGAAUAGCAUAUUUAUUGCAGAAGGAGAUGGCUUAGAUUGUAUUGUUACAAUAAGAGAGAAAACAUCAGACAUCCUCAGAUCCUACUUCAACAACACAAAACAAAACAGGGAUGAACGCUUACCUGAAACAGAAAGGUCUGAGAAGGGACGCUUACUUGAAACAGCCGCAAAACUCAUAAAAAGUGACAUAAUGACAAUUGUACAAGCAGCCCGACCGUGAGCUGUACUUGCCCCUUUGCAAAUUGGCCUUGCAGUGCAAAUGCACCAUUUAAACCGAUCUAGGUUCAUUUUAGAUACGUUGAAUAAGAUGGGAUUCUGCUCUUCCUAUGCUGAAUUGCAGAGGUUUGAAGCGAAUGCCGCAAAUUGUAAUGCUCCCAACAUGCUUGGUAACGAUAUUGAUGUGUCGAACACAACCGUCUUAUUUGCAGCAGACAAUGUAGAUCACAACAUUCUAACAAUUGAUGGGAAGGGGACAUUUCAUUGGAUGGGCAUGAUAGCUGCCUUGACACCAGGACAGAAGACAAACCAAAGGAUCCCGAGGUUCAAAGUGAAUGAACUGAAUAUUGUACAGAGCUCAAAAGUUGCGAUAAUAGAUAAUCACUUUGCCAAACACUUUUGCAGAGACACAACAUUCAAAGAACUUCCAAGACUCACAGAAUCUAACAAGAUGGUUGAUCUGCUUUGGGAGUUAUCAUUCAAUUUCAAACAGGCCACACCAAGUUGGCAGGGGAUGAUGCGCAUUGUGCACAAGGGAAAUGAACAUCCAGGGCAGUCUUCAGUGAGAUACUUACCCAUGAUAGACAGGAACUCCGGAGACAAAACAUGCAUUCUUUCAACACUGGAGUUCAUGUGUGAUCUUGCAUCCAAGCACCACCUUGCCCCAGUAGUUACCUUCGACCAGCCGCUGUACUGGAAAGCAGCAGAGAUAAUCAUAGAUUCACCACAGUGUAGUCACCUCAAGUCCAUUGUCCUGCUCCUAGGAGGAUUUCACACAUUUAUGAAUUUGCUAGGAGCGAUUGGUACACUGAUGGAUGGCACAGGACUUAAGGACAUUCUAGGAGUAGUCUGGGGAAAAUUCAGUAGCCCAUAUCAUGACUGGCAAAUCAGUUCAGAGAGCAUUCCGUGGCCAUCUUCUUGUAGACAAAUGUCUUAACCGCUGGUGUCAGAGAUGAUUGAUGAAAGUCAUGGAUUCGCAACAAUGGUUGAACAGUCUGAAGCUAUGUAUACCUCACUAGUUAAGGGUGAAAUGCCAAUAGAAACAGUGUUUAUAUCAGAGACCCUCAUUAGAAUAAAUGAAGAGCUGGGGAAAAGGAAGAUGGAACUGUGUGGUCGAUCCAAGACAAGUCAGUUGUGGCUAAAUUACCAAAACAUGUUAGAAGUUGCUAGGUCAUCAAGGUCAUCAACGGCAGAUCGCACAGGUUCUUGGCUUUUGCACCUACGCGCUGUUUCUGACUGCAUGCCGAUUCUCGCUGCGGCUGGGCAUUACAAGUACUUGAAAUCUGUACACUUUUAUGUCCAAAAGAUGAGUCAGCUUCACAUCAACCACCCAGAUGUGUUCAGAAAAUUCAAAUGGGUUUUCAUUAGGGCCCGACCGAUAUUGAUUUUUGAGUGCCGAUGCCGAUUAUUUUCAGAGAAAAAUUACGAUUACGAUUUAAUCGGCCGAUUAAAAAAAAAAAAAAAAAAAAAAAAAAAAAAAACAUAUAAAACGUAGUUUUUGAUACCUUAAAUAUACUUUAAACACUUUUGACGUAUAUGUGAAUUGAGUGCAGAACCUUUUAGUGUUUUAGAAUACAUUUACAGUCAAAAAUGAGUGUAAUGUAAAAUAUAAAAUAAAUAAAUAACUAACUCCCAAUGUGCUGCGCUCGUGAGCAGUGACUAACACGUGCGUGCUGAGCAGUAUGGUCUCACCGUUAGAGUCUACAGUAUAACAAAUUAACAUGGCCUGGGACCUAAAGAAAAACAGGCACAGCUGCCUGAGCGAGCGUGCUUUCAUGUUGUACGGUAAAAUUCAAUCUCCUCUUUUUUACUCCAGCUAAAGUUGUUAGUUAGCAAGGCGAGUAGGAGCGCAAUCUGCAGGAUACUAAGCGCAAUAACAUUUAUAAAAAAAAAAAUUAAAAAAAAAAUCGGUUGUAAUCGGCGUCUUUUUGGCCGAUGCCGAUUAUUUUCAAAAAGGCUAUAAUCGGCCGAUUAAAUCGGCAGGCCGAUAAAUCCCUAGUUUUUAAAGCCCUAGUUUUCAUGUUAUCAGUCGCAGCAGCCAGUCAUGGGCAGGCCUCAGCUCAGAUCUUGUCAUCGAGACGACAUUGAUGAGGUCAUUGAAGACUACAGGUGGUAUGACGCAUGGAAGUGGAAUGACUGACAAUCAGAGAGCCCUUUGGACCAUGUCAAAGUGCAUAACAUCAGAGUACAACACCGCAAUGCAGGAGUUCACAAACCAGACGUACACAACAUCAGAACAGCACAAGGACUCAACAGAGGCAAGGAUGAAAAGGGAUGCUGCUGACCUGGAGAAGAUCACUUCAAAACUUGCUAUAUGGUCACCUUUCUCUCCAGACUCUUCUUUAAGGAAUGUUGUUACAGGUGUUGUUGCUGAGGACGGAGUGAACGUGCAUGAUUAUGACUCUGUUGGACGCAAUAUCAUGCACAAAAUGAUUGGACAGCCUGCAUUCACAUUCUCAUUUAGUAGAAAAGAUAAAGCCAUAACCCUUGGACAAAAAUCGUCUAUCAAGGUUGCUCCUGAUUGAACAAUUGAUUCUGCACUUCUUUUUCAACAUUUCCUGAUUGUCUCCCAAACUGGAGAGCCAUCAUUGGAGGAGGUUAUGUGUUACGAACUCAGUCCUUUCCCUCCUGCCCUCUUUGAAGCUGGAAACAUCUUCCGCAAGGCUGAUAAACCACAACUUGUACACGCAAUCUGUGAUCAUGCAAGUGAUGCAAUCCUAGAUACUGUACCAGAAACAGAUCAUUAUGUUCUUGAUGGAGGUUCACUCCUUCACCGAAUACCAUGGAAGCACGGACAAAGCUACGGUAAAAUUGCGCAGUCAUAUGCAGACUUCACCAUCCAACAUUAUGGCUCAGCUACCACCAUUGUGUUCGAUGGCUGUGGGGAUGGGCCAUCCAUUAAAGACAACACACAUCAAAGAAGAGGAAACAAUAUUCAUCCCAUUGUCAACUUCCCUGCUGAGACAGAGUUCUCAGGUAAGGAGGAGUUCCUGUCAAGAGAUCUGAAUAAACCGAGGCUGAUCCAAAUGAUAAGCGAUGAACUGAAAGAAAGGGGUUGCACUGUGGUCAAUUCAAUUGGAGAUGCUGAUGUAGACAUCGUAAGGGCCGCAGUGGAAUCAUCUCUUCUUCACACCACUACGCUGAUUGGAGAAGAUACAGAUCUCCUUGUCUUACUACUUCACUAUGCACAGAGAGAUAGUAAGGGCGUUUAUUUCAGAUCAGACAAGUCAAAAGCUGAUGGCAGUUUUAAAGUGUAUGCCGUAAACCAUUUAAAAGUAGUACUUGGACAUGAUGGGCCCUAUUUUAAGUGGGAAGCGCAAAGCGCAAGUAGCUUUGUGGGCGGUUCUACGGCGCUAUCGCUAUUUUACAGGCGGAUAAAUGACACUUGCGUCGCGGCGCAAGUGUCAAAAGGGUUGGUCUGAAGCAGCCUAGUUACCCGUAGGUGUGGUUUGGGCGUAACGUCCAACAAACCAAUGAGAGUGCCAGCUCCCAUCCCCUUUAAGAGCCAUGAGCGCAUUUGAAUCGGACGAGUUGAUAUUUUGACAGCGCGUCUGCAGUCUCCGAUGAGACAGAUGCACAUGAAUUUCAAACUGCAAAUGGCUCAGUUUAUUGCCAAAUAAUAUGGCCUAAUUCACACAUGGAAUAAGGGGUUUUCUUCCACAACUUCAGAAAUACUGAGUCCUCAAAUAAAUUUCGGCAAAGAAAACGUAUAUGAUAUAACAUAUGAUAUGCGGUAACUGUGGUUCUAUUUAAUGAUAUACGCAAUACAUUAUAAACAUUAUUUCUUAUCAGUAUUGUAUGCUAUCCUAAUAUGCAUGUGUCCCCGUGGUAAUAGACAUUGCCAUUGAUUGUAUUAUGCGUUACGUGUUUAGUUUGCGUGUGUUUAAACAGAGCACACACGCGCGCCCGCAUUCAUUCAUUCUUUUUAACACUCACUCGCGGUAAAACAAUGUUUUUCACGAUCAAAUACUCAUCAAUCCUAAAAGUUAUGGGCAUGUAGGCCUACACGAUGUCUCUGUCAAGAAAAUAUGUGUUUGCUGUGCGGUGUUUGCAGAUGCAUUGAUUUAAAAGUACAACUUAUUACCGCUGCAUCAGCUGUUCUUUCCCAAAUAAUUUACCAAGAAUGUGUGGAUAGGUAGAUGGGAGAAGCAAAGUGUAUGCGUGAGGUGCACAAGCAAUCCGUAUGCAUCGCAUGCGCAUGUAUGCAUGCGCCCUUAAAAUAGCAUCUGAACAACGCGCCACUGAAUUUAAACCAGGUAUUUCCUGGUCAGUAGCGCAAUGGUAUUCAGAAAAGGCAAAAUACCGUUUGCGCCAGAACACGCCUCCUCCUUCCGCCGAACCGCCCCUUGGGGCGCAUGAUCAAUCCCUAAUUUACCGGCGAGUGGCGGUGGUGGGAAAAGAACGCUCUGCGCCAGUUGUAAACUAGCAACGACACAUGCGCCAGUUACUAAGUCACUUGCGCCGGAUGCAAGAUAGGGCCCGAUGUGUGUUCUCAGUUGAUGUUCAUCCAUGCUCUCACUGGCUGUGACACAACUUCUCGGAUCUUCGGGGUUGGCAAAAAGACUGCUUUCCAGAAGCUUGUAAAAGGGGAUCCUGUCCUUCGAUCUUGUGCCAAUGCAUUCAUUGUCCCAAACCAGACCACAGAGGUGAUCGAUGACCUUGGGUGCCAAGUAAUGGCUGUCCUCUUUGGUGGAAAGUGCACAGAUUCCCUUGCAGCAAUGCAAUACAACAUUUUCAGCAAGAAGGUUGUCUCAGCUUAAUCAACUGUAACGCCUGAACGUCUGCCACCAACUGAAUCUGCGACCAAAUUUCACUGUCGUAGAGCAUACUACCUGGUCAUGGUCUGGAUGGGAACAGAAUAUGGUAUGGAUGCCCUGAACUGGGGGUGGAGCCUGCAGGACAAUAGAUUUGUCCAACUCAUGUCAACAAUGAAUGUUGCUCCAGACAGUCUCUUGAACGUCAUUCAUUAUGACUGUACCACUUCCUGUAAGACACUCCGCUGCUCUUGCAGAAAAUAUGGACUACCUUGUACUACUGUCUGUGGACCAUGUCAGCUUAAAGGGGUAGUUCGGAAUUUUGGACAUAGGGCCUGAUUCCCAAGUGUGCUUUGGUCUUCUUUAUCACUGGAGACAGUUUUCAACACAUUUCAUUCAGUCCUUCUAGUUGCAGAGUUUGCUCGUGCUAGGCUAGCGCACGUCAACGGGCAAUGCUAGCCUGCUAUUAAAAACAGUGUUACCCACUCCACAGUACACCCGAGGUAAAUCAAUUAUAACGACAGACUAUACAUUUAAAUGUCUGUUUAUAGAAUAAUGUUAGAAAUAAAACCAACCUUGCAUUGCAUUGCAUUUUGAGGGAAUUGCUGGGUCUCAGCAGCAGUGUUAUAUUCCUGGUAGUAGGCUACGGCAGCGGCGGACUGAUACCUAGGUUACCGGCUCUAGUGUUUACCUGCCGCUGUCAUUGCUACAAACGCAGAGUACAGUGAACGAAGGAAUUCUAUUAGCGUAUUCAAUUAACAAGAUAUGGCCACGUUUGGAGGACUUAGCGAUGCAUCUGCUUUUGAAGACGAUUAUGAGGAAUUUAUUGUAUCCAACGAACCGUACAUGUACGAGCCGGUGUUUUGAUGUCCAAGCCAGCAGCAACAGGCCACAGUUGAGUCCUUUCUGGAUCUUGCACUGGAAAUUGGUGGAAACUUUGUGGUGCUCAUCUGUAGCGUUUAUUUCUACAAUUUCUAAAAGCACACUGAACCACCAUGUUGCCUAGUCCUUCAAUUUCGCUUCUGUCCCACGCUUCUCUGUUUACGUUCUUCGGUCGUGAUUCGGUUACAAAACUAACCGGCGCAUAGUUCCGCUUCUGCUGAGAAAGUAGUCCCUCAAUGAUUCAUGCGAUGCAAGGUUAGUUUUAUUUCUAACAUUAUUCUAUCAACACAGACAUUUAAAUCUAUAGUCUGGCGUUAUAAUUGAUUUACCUCGGGUGUACUGUGGAGUUGGUGUUUUUAAUAGCAGGCUAGCAUUGCCCGUUGCCGUGCGCUAGCCUAGCACGAGCGAACUCUGCAACUAGAAGGACUGAAUGAAAUGUGUUGGAAACUGUCUCCAGUGAUAAAGAAUACCAAUGCUCAGUUGGGAAUCAGGCCCUAUGUCCAAAAUUCCGAACUACCCCUUUAAGGAAUGUGACAAUCCACGUAACAAGUUUCUUCCAGAGGAGCCCGAAGAUGAUGAAUAAAGACCACAAUAAGUGUGGCAUUUAUGUUGUUCAACACCAACACCACCUUUCUAGUUUGAAUAGUAACCAAUUUUAACCAUUUAACCAAUGUAAGCUUACAGGCAGUCAUUUUGAAAAUGAUGCCUUUCUAACAGUUAUAUUUACAUAGAUUUGUCGCACGUUAUUAAUGUAUAGAGGUACCAGAAUCAGUUGAAACAUUCUUUUGUAACAUUUUCCAUUUGAGAUAUAGGCCGUUUCUCAAUUCCUAGCACGCGUACUACAGACUCGAUGACUUGCAAGUACGGACUUGGCAAGUCCGUACUUCAAGCACAGACUUGCGAGCACGCGAGUACGUACCUGCAUUUGGAACAGCAACGGACUCGAUGACGUCACCACCUCUGCUCGUCCGUUAACUGUGCUACGGCCUCAUUUAGGCAUAUACUACUGAACAAUAUCAACAAAUGAUAUCAAACAAAAUCCCAGCCUCUAUAUAAGUUAAGAGUAACUUAAGCUACAGUUGUGCGUCUUCUCCUUAUUGUCCGCCAUCGUACUGCUGCGAGUGCGAAAUGCAUUCUAGGAUUUAUAGCGGUUGCAAGUACACACGAGCCACCUCCGAUGCAUGCUCGGUGAAACGGCGAGAUCGAGCACGCAUCAAGAAUACUUCCGGGUUUUACGACAGUACUCGCUUGAUGCGUGCUUCGAAUUGGAACAGUGCUCGGGCAACGACUGAUGACGUUUCACGAGUCCACGAGAACACGAGCACGCACAAGUACGCGAAUUGAGAAACGGCCAUAGCCAUUCUAAGCUCCCGGCCGCCAUUUUGGACGCCAUUAUGAAAAUGAAGCCUUUCUGGGAGGUAUAUUUUCCUAGAUUGUUAGUAUGUUCACAAGAAUAUUUGCAGGUACCAGAAUCAAGUGAAAAAUCAUUCGAAUAAUCUUUUUCUAUUGAUAUAUAUAGCCAUUUUAAGCUUGGCCGGCCACCAUUUUGGAGGCGAUCUUGAAAAUGAAGCCUUUCCGGAAGGUGUAUUUUCCUAGAAAAUUCCUUUGCAACAUUUUUUCAAUUUGAGAUAUAGCCAUUUCAAGCUCCCCGCCGCCAUUUCGGCCGCCAUCUUGGAAAUGAGGGCUUUCUGGGAGGUAUAUUUUGGUAUACUUUUAGUAUGUUAUUCAGCACACCAAAUACUACUAGAAUCCAUUGAAAAACCUUUUGUAUCAAUUUUUUUGGGGUUAAGCCCUUUUUCUUCAUAGAUUGACUCACCUACUCCGUUAGUCGGAGUGCUUGAAUAGGCUUCAGCAACGUUGAAAGCUGCUGAAAAUUCAGUUGCAGUUAAAGGUUUAAUCGCGCGGCAACUAAGCGCUCGGUAGGGAGUUUAACUCUACUGGGGAAGGGGAUCUCAAAGAUAAUAGGCAUAUGAUCAGAAAAGGUUGCAGGGCAUACAUUGAUGUUAUUAACAGGAAUACCACAUGAAAGAACAAGAUCUAGUGUAUGUCCAUGCCUAUGUGUAGGAUCCGUAAUAGAUUGUACGUGAUUAAAGGAUUCAAUAUCACUUAAAAAAUCUUUGACCAUUGGCAUAGCAUUGCAGCAAAAAUGGAUAUUAAAGUCUCCGACAAUGAGCACCCCAUCAUAUUUUGGCAUAAGCCCAGCUAGGAGAUCGGUAAAGUCACUUAAGAAAUCCUUGUCACAUUUAGGUGGACGGUAGAUCACAACAAACAACACUGGGUGAGAACGGUUGAAAGCAAGCAUGUUAAUUUCAAAGCUAGAAUAAGGACAUGGACUCACUGACAUUUAACCUGGUUUCAAUGAUACAUAGCAGAUCAAGUAUAUGGAAGUUAAAUAAAUCAUUAAGAAUAAAUGUCUUGUUUGCUAUCAUGGGCGUCAGUUUGGUUUGAAAUGGGGACAGAGACGCAUUCUGAAGUGCAUUUCAGAAGUGAUGGGUACAAUGAGGAUGCACUCUUUUUUUCUCUCUAUAGUGCCGGUAAUGAAAGAUUCUGAAAGACGGCAUACCCAUGUAGCUAAUUACUAAGGAAUAAAAUGUAUGCAAAAUCUGUCUGGCACGAUUUAUAAAGAAAACGUUUCCAAAAAGCAUCGGACAUGUGACCCACUAUGUUCUGCUCCAUGUAUCCAAUGUUGACAACGUGACAUGACAUGGCUAAGCAACCAACAUAAACAAGAGGAGCUAGGAAAGGAAAUUAACUGCGUGUUUAAGUUCAGAAGGGGCAAACGUGUGGCUACACAGCACCAGGGAUGCCAGUAACGCGUUACUUAGUAACGCGUUACUGGCCUCUGACCACUUAUUUCAGUAACGAGUAAUCUAACGCGUUACUAUUGCCAAACCAGUAAUCAAAUUAAAGUUACUCAUCAAAGUCACCGAUUGGUGUUAAGAGCGAUGGAGUGGUGUGUAUGUGUCUGUCUGUCUGUUUGUGUGAGAUUGCGUGUGCGUGUGAAGCAUAAGUCUCCAAAGACUUCUAUCAGAGGCGAGUGUCGACCUUGACACAAAAAGUUAGUAUUGGCAAAACCAGUUGUAAUUUUUUAUUUUGAGGCGGCAGGGGGUGUUAAAGUAACUUGUAAUCUAACUUAGUUACUUUUAAAAUCAAGUAAUCAAUAAAGUAACUUGGUUACUAUUUUAAGGAGUAACUAGUAAUCAGUAAUCCGAUUACUUUUUCAAGGUAACUGUGGCAACGCUGCACAGCACUACAAAAGUCGUCAAGAUUGAAAAAGAAAAAAAUAUUUCUUGCACAGCUGAACGCUGUAUCACAUCAUGAGCUGGAUGUUCUCAAUUCACAACAUGCAUUCCAUUCAAUCUAGCCUAAAUCAGAAUUCUGACCAAAACUCAUGCACUCCCCCCCACAAUUAUUCCAGAAUUCAAGCAAAGCAAGAAUGACCAAAAGUCACUUUGUGUAAACAAGACACUUAACCCCAACUGCUCCUGACGAGCUUGCUGUCGCCUUCCAUGGUUGACUUUGCCAUCGGUGUGUCAAUGUGUGUGUUAACCGAUGUAAGUCGCUUUGGAUAAAAGCGUCUGUAAUUGAGUGCAAAAAACACAAAAGUCCUCGCAUCAGCACCAGAAAAUCUUAAGCAAUAAAUAUCGCGUCUUACCUUUAUUUAUUUGGCAGUGGUCUGCAGAUGCAUCCCGUGGUGUAGCCUACCACAUCCAUUUAGUUCAAGAGGUAAUCGUUCUGAUACUGUCCAUGGUACUAGCAACCUGCUUUGGUGCUUUUUACCUAUGUAUUUUCAGGCUAAAAUGACUUGAUUGUCUGAUGCCUCAUUAUCCCAGCAAAAGAGCAUUGGUAUUACUAGUAAUGGCUACUUGGCAAAACGACAAAAUAACUUUACACAGUGUGUCUUUAUCCAAUGUAUUUGUCAUCAUUCGUAGCGUUGAUCAGCAGAGAAAUAGUUUGCCAAAGUCGUUGACGUCGCUUAGCAACCGAAUACGCUGGGGUUGAUAAGUUACCGGACUGCAGAGUGAUACAGAUGACGUGAA